rnacentral:rRNA from 1 species
AGAGUUUGAUCAUGGCUCAGGAUAAAUGCUGGCGGUGUGUCUUAGGUAUGCAAGUCGAGCGAUUUUAUUGGUCCCGCAAGGGAUUGAUAAUGUAGCGGCGGACGGCUGAGUAACACGUGGGAACCUGCCCCUUAGCGGAGGAUAGCUCGUCGAAAGACGGGGUAAUACUCCAUACGUUCGUAAGAAGAAAGGGCGUAACUGCUCACUAAGGGAGGGGCCUGCGGCCUAUCAGGCAGUUGGUGAGGUAACGGCUCACCAAACCUAUGACGGGUAGCUGGUCUUGGAGGACGGACAGCCAGAGGGGGACUGAGAUACGGCCCCCACUCCUACGGGAGGCAGCAACCAAGAAUAUUGCGCAAUGGGCGAAAGCCUGACGCAGCGACACCGCGUGCGGGAAGAAGGCCUUAGGGUCGUAAACCGCUGUGGUAGGGGAAGAAGUCCCGACUCUGUCGGGAUUGACGGUACCCUAUUAGAAAGUGGCUGCAAACUACGUGCCAGAAGCAUCGGUCAAACGUAGGCCACAAGCAUUAUCCGAUUUUAUUGGGCGUAAAGGGACGCGUAGGCGGACUGGUAAGUUGUGCUUAAAAUCUUCUCGCUCAACGAGAGGUCGGGUGCAAUACUACCAGCCUUUGAGUUCUUUUCAGGGAAGUAGAACAUUCUUUGUAGCGGUAAAAUGCGUUGAUAAAGAAUGGAAUACCAAUGGCGAAGGCAACUUCCUGGAAAUUUACUGACGCUGAGGCUCGAAAGCUAGGGGAGCGAAAGGGAUUAGAGACCCCUGUAGUCCUAGCCUUAAACGCAUGUCUGCUAGUUCUUCUUUUCUCGAUUUAUCGAGAAGGGAGGGGCGUAAGCUUACGCAUUAAGCAGACCGCCUGGGAAGUACGACCGCAAGGUUAAAACUCAAAUGAAUAGGCGGGGACCCACACAACGAGUGGAACAUGUGGCUCAAUUCGACACGAACCGAAGAACCUCACCAGGGUUUGACAUUCCAACGUCCUAUUUCCCGGAAACGGGAGAAAUUCGCAAGAAGGUUGGAACAGCUGGUGCAUGGCUGUCGUCAGCUCGUUCCGUGAGGAGUGCCCUUAAGUGGGACAACGAGCGCAACCCUUAUCCUGAGUUACAAGUGUCUCAGGAGACUGCCCCGACUAUCGUCGGGGAGGAAGGAGAGGCGGACGUCAAGUCAUCAUGUCGCUUAUACCCUGGGCUGCACACAUGUUACAAUGAGUAGGAACAACGCGCUUCGUGACUUCGUAAGAAGAUGCAAAUCGCUGAAAUCUACUCUCAGUGGGGAUUGAGGGCUGAAAUUCGCCCUCAUGAACGCGGAAUUCGUAGUAAUCGCGGGUCAGCUAUACCGCGGUGAAUACGUUCUUGGGUCUUGCACUCACCGCCCGUCAAGCCACCAAAGUUACAGGCACUUAAAAAGCCCCAAUAACGGGGAACUAGGGUGAAUGUAGCGAUGGGGACUAAGU